UACGUAGGGUGCGAGCGUUAAUCGGAAUUACUGGGCGUAAAGCGUGCGCAGGCGGUUUUGUAAGACGGAUGUGAAAUCCCCGGGCUUAACCUGGGAACUGCAUUCGUGACUGCAAGGCUAGAGUAUGGCAGAGGGGGGUAGAAUUCCUGGUGUAGCAGUGAAAUGCGUAGAUAUCAGGAGGAAUACCGAUGGCGAAGGCAGGUCUCUGGGCUGACACUGACGCUCAUGCACGAAAGCGUGGGGAGCAAACAGG
rnacentral:rRNA from 1 species